AACAGCACUAAGUUCUCUCUUGCUCCUACCCUGAAAGCCCUGUUAAGUUGAGGGAAAGAAUUAAGUAAAGGUUUAAGCCAAAGUUGUGGGCUGGAUUAAGAAUCCCUGCAGUAGGAACAAUGUGGUUCUGGAAUUUUCAACAUUGGUAGACAAAUAAAUGAACAGACUGUGGAGGAGUCCCUACUAUUAAAUCUACACUGUGGGAUUACUGAUGUGUUAAACAGGUGGAGAACACCUUCUAACAGCCCUGGACAUACCACCCAUUCGGAAAUAUGGUUUGUUAGUUAAAGACACUGGUUACUCUAACAGGCCGGAUCCCACAGCCUGAAGAAAUCAGAUCAUGGCCUCUACAGUUUUUUCCCAGGAUAAAAUUAAGCAGUCUUCCUGUGCUGCUGUUUUUACAGCUCCUACAGUCCCUACCCAGUACCUAACUCCUCCACACUCUAGCAGGUAGGCUAUACUAACACGCUUUGGUGUGGAACUUCUAGCAAUCCACUGAAAGGACAUGAAAGUCGGAUAUUCAUGAUGACUACCUCUGUUACUCUUAUUUUAAGCUAUCCUUUGUAAUAAAGCCCUCUCCAGGUUU